rnacentral:rRNA from 1 species
AUCGAUGAAGAGUGCAGCCAACUGUGUGAAUUAAUGUGAAUCGCAGACUGCUUUGAACAUCGAUACCUUGAACGCAUAUUGCGGCCAUAGGCUUGCCUAUGGCCACGUCUGUCUGAGCGUCGGCUUAUAAACUAUCACUGCGCGUAAUAAGCAGUGGCUUGGGAGAGUGCCGUGAUUGCAGUAGUUAUGUGUGUGUAUAUGUGUGUUGCGUGCGCGCUACUACUGCUGCAGUUGGGGCUUCUCUUUAAGGUAUUAUCACAGCCAUUGCCAUUGCGAAUGGUGAUGCGUGUGAUGCGGAGCUUGUGGUUGUGUGAGUAACCAGCUGCUAUAUGCCGGUACUGCUAUUACUUUGAUACAUGGUUUCAACAGUGGUGAGAUUUUGUAUGUAUAUAUAUGUGUGUGUGGACUACUGUUGCCGCUGUUGAUAUCGUUGUAUCAGGGAGUGGUGGUAUAUGAGCGUUUAUAGUUGCUGCAGUUCACUAACCGUGGCCUAGUGUGUGUGUGUACUCCUUAUGUUACAUAUGUGUGUAUAUACAAGGCACGAGAUGUGAAUUGUGGUGGGUGAAGGCUGGUGCACAAUAUUAGCAAUCAUAGAAGCCCAAUAUAUGAGCAAGCAUAGGUCACGCGUAUACUAUACUAUAUCACGAUGAUAUAAAUAGUAUGUGUAUGGAAGACCUGACCUCAGAUCAGUCGUGAUUACCCGCUGAACUUAAGCAUAUCAAUAA